rnacentral:rRNA from 1 species
GUGCCAGCAGCCGCGGUAAUACAGAGGGGGCAAGCGUUGUUCGGAAUUACUGGGCGUAAAGGGCGCGUAGGCGGCCUUCUAAGUCGAACGUGAAAUCCCCGGGCUCAACCCGGGAACUGCGUCCGAGACUGGAAGGCUCGAAUCCGGGAGAGGGAUGUGGAAUUCCAGGUGUAGCGGUGAAAUGCGUAGAUAUCUGGAGGAACAUCCGUGGCGAAGGCGGCAUCCUGGACCGGUAUUGACGCUGAGGCGCGAAAGCCAGGGGAGCAAGCGGGAUUAGAUACCCCGGUAGUCC